GAUUUGUAGUCACGUACUGUUAUCAUUCGUUAUCAAAUUGGGAAAUGGGAAUAAUUUCGAACACAAAUUCUUAAAUAUCUGUCGAUUCUCAGUAACUAAUAAGUUCAAAUUAAGGUGUAUUAAGUACGUACCUUAAUUCUUAUUUCGUGAUUAUGAAUAAUGAUCAUCAACAAGCGUUGGAAGUAAUUUUACAUAUGGCAGCUGUUAUUUCUAGAAGUAACCGAUCGAUACUAAUAAAUCCGGUGCACAUUGUUUGUGCUCCAAACGACUAUGUACUCCAACCGACGUGCCUACUCAUGUAACUAUUUUUCGUUCGGCCGCCCGGAUCACAACGAAUGUGUUCCGCUAAUUAACACACUUCUCAACAUAAAAAUCUGUAACAUUUUAUUUUUAAUAAAUAUUUUUGUUAAUUAUAGACUAUGUUCAUAAUAACCAAUUAUAAUUUACUACAGGAAUCUAAUCUAAUAAUUUUUAUAUAAUUUUUCUUUUUUUUUUUUGUGAUUCAUGUGCACAAUAGCACGAGCCGCCACUAACAAAUACCUACUAUGUAUAGGUAUCUUAGCCGAACAAGUGUAAUUAAAGGGAACCUAGAAUCUACUGAUAAUGCAAUUUUGGAUUAGCAAACUACAAAUAUUUUUUCAUAUAAAUUUAAAGAACUAUGACAAAAGUUCAAUUGAAUAUUAUAUUUAUAACCGUUAAUAUUUUAUUGUAACAGAACUACUAUUUUUAUAAUAAAGCUUUAUUAUCGUAACUGAUAUGGCGGUAUUAUUGUAAAAACUUCUAUUACAUAACUGGAUCUCUAGGCUCAAUUGUUAGUUACCUACUUCCACAUUGGUUGUGCUUUACAUAGGUAAAUUACAAUUUUAUACUGACAAAUAUUUUGAAGAGUAUUAGUUGUUGACUAAUACAAUAUAUAUAGUAAUAGCCUUAGUUAUAACUCAAUAGCCAAAGCAUAUUUUUUGAUGUUUAUGUAAAAUAUGUAAUAAGCACUUGAAAUGUGUUUUUAUUUACAAGAGUAGGUAAUGAGUGUCAAUAAAUCAUGCAUUUAAUAAGCAAUAAUUAAGAUUAUCCAUAUAGAUUAAUAUUAUAAUGCACAUGUACAUUGAAAUAUUUAAUGGUUCCUAACUCUUAUUUAUAUUAAAAGAUGAAACAGAAAUUGUUAGUAAUUGACAAAUUAACAUACUAUAUACUUAAUAAUUACUAAUAUAAUUUCUACACUAUAUGAUUAUAAAUAAGACAUUUCUAAUACUUUUCAAGGUAAUUAUUAAAUUGUAGUUUCCUUUUUGUUUGAGGUUAUUGUUAUUAAAAAACCUUAAAUAACAAAAUUCUCUCAAUACAACACAUCAAUACUUCAUAAGAUUUAUAAAAUAACCAAAUUUUAUCAAAAAUUAUGUUUUUCAAGUUAACAAUAAAGUAAAGUAUUCAUGUUAAGAAGCAUUAAAAAAUUCAAUGCAUUACAGGAAAAACAUAAAUCUCAUUAUCAAUUGAAAUCCACUAAAAACAUAAGAAUUAGGAAUAAAAUUAUAUCAAUAAAUUAAAUACAAAGUUUUCAUGUGCUCUGAAAGAAUAAUUUCAAUGUUUAAUCUUAUAAAGCUAUAUUGUUCAAUUAAAAUAAUUUAAAAUAAAAAAGCAGUGUUUUUUAGUACAAGGGAAAUGUAUCACAAUGGAAUGAAUAAGCAUUAAGUAUAAAAAAAAUUGAAGGAUUAAUAUACAGAAUUUUUGUUUUAAAUAAAAAGUAACAAAAAUUAAAU
rnacentral:lncRNA from 1 species